UACGUAGGUGGCUAGCGUUGUCCGGAUUUACUGGGCGUAAAGAGCGCGCAGGCGGUCGUUCAAGUCGAGUGUGAAAGCCCCCGGCUCAACUGGGGAGGGUCACUCGAUACUGAUCGACUCGAAGGCAGGAGAGGGAAGCGGAAUUCCCGGUGUAGUGGUGAAAUGCGUAGAUAUCGGGAGGAACACCAGUGGCGAAGGCGGCUUGCCAGAACGCGCUCGACGGUGAGGGAUGAAAGCUGGGGGAGCAAACCGG
rnacentral:rRNA from 1 species